rnacentral:lncRNA from 1 species
GGUGACUUUUUUUUUUCAACUUCAUCAUUCGCUCACUCUCAUUUAUGGGUCGCAGCGCAAGUCAUGUGAAUCGACUGCUUGGUCAAACACGAAUAUCAGUCGACCCUGUAUUUCCCGUUUCCUUUUCCGCAGGGGAAAAAAAAAGAAUAAAAAAAAAAAGGAAAAGAUUUAAAUGCAUAAAUAACGUCCGUGUUAAAUACCAAAAGAAUACGAAAACAGGUCAUUUUCACGGAUUGUUUUGCUAGUAAAGCUUUGAAUUCAAUGGAAUGGAAACCGACCAUUUUGAUAAUUCGCAUUUUAGUGGGACAAAUUAAAUCAUGAAAUUUUGCUGUGUGCUUUCGUACGGCGACGAUAACGGUUUGUGAAGAUGCAGUUUGAAUGAGUUACAUUGGAAUGGUGGUUUUGUCUUCUACUGGCUUGUAGCAGAUGAAUGCUUUUUAGUUCUCUGUUAACGACCAUAUAAAACAGUACCAGUGAUACAACUACUCUGUAAAUAUGAAAACUCUGCACAUACUCACACUGUUUUCUUGUACUCUGACGAGUAUAAAGAGGCCGUCAGCAAAACAUAAUAUAGCAGGUGACGGGACCAAUACUGAUGACAACAAGGCGACGCAACAUUUUCAACAGCAAGUGGACAAUAGAGUUCCCAAAUCGGGCUAUUACCACUUACUACAACAUAACAUUUUUCUUUUUUUUUUUUAUUUUGUCGUAAUAGGAAGUAUUGCAAUAAGCCACUUGGAGUAUUAUUUUGCCAUAUCGACAAGGAUACUCCGAAAAAAAAGAAUAAAUUGAGGUCAAAAUUCUAUCGACAGCAAAUGCGUCCCAUUUUUUAUAAAAAGGUCAAUGAUAACAUAGUCGCUGUUACUAGGAAACAUUUUUUUUUGAAUCUGCCCACCGCAAAAAUAAAAAAUAAAAAUAUAUAUUGUUGAACCAG